GGAGAGGUGCCGGAGCGGUCGAUCGGGUCGGUCUCGAAAACCGAAGUACGGGCAACUGUACCGUGGGUUCGAAUCCCACCCUCUCCGCCA
rnacentral:tRNA from 2 species